rnacentral:tRNA from 1 species
GCGGGUAUCGUAUAAUGGUUAUUAUGUCAGCCUUCCAAGCUGAAGAUGGCAGUUCGAUUCUGCUUACCCGCU